rnacentral:lncRNA from 1 species
GGAAGUCGCUGUCGAUGACUAGUCGGACCUCACGAUGAGUGUGACAAACACAGACAGUAAACUGCAAUAAACAAUGGCAAACCAAGGGCUAAUGAGUCCAAGCAGCAAUGACAGCAGUCGCUGCGUUCAUGUUAGCACUGGUUUUGACGACUACCAAUGUACGGUGAUUCUCAUGGUGAAAAGGGCAACAGCUACAUUCUCUUUAGUGGGAUGUCUCUUCAUGCUGUUUGUGAUCUGGCUUUUCCGCAGAUACCACUCCUUGGCUCAGAAGAUGGUCGUGAGCCUGACUGUAGCUGCGUUCUUUGACAGCGUUGCCUACGUCAUGGGUGAGGACCAUCCCAAAGGACCGCUGUGCACCUUUCAAGCCUGGUGGCUUACAUACUUUGAUUGGAGUGCCCUGGCCUGGGUCAGUCUCAUCACCCUUAACCUCUACAUCAACCUAGUGAAGGAGACACGGACGGAGCAGUACCACAUAUUCUACCAUCUGUUGGCCUGGGGGGUUCCUCUCCUGAUGUCCUGCCUUCCCCUGAUUGGUGGGUUCUACGGUCCGGCUGGACCCUGGUGGAAACCUCACGAGGUCCUUGCGGAGGAACCAUCUGUGUGCUCCGGCAGACGCGGCCCACUUCCUGCGGCGGCUCAAUUCGCGUUCGUGGUUAAUAGGUUAUCACACAGAAAUGGCGGAGGAGAGCAGUUUUUGCUGAUAUAAUGAGCACUGCGUUGCGGUGUUAUUCUGCAUUACGAUAAUUGCUUUCGAGGGCUCUCUCCGUAGGAAUAUCUGAGCUUCGGAGACAAGCCGGCCACAGCGCUUGCGUGCUGCCGUGGUGUCGUCCUCCGCACGACAAGGUCUUCGUCGCCCGUGUGUGAUUGACAGCUCCCACACAUUCCCUGGUGGCAGAGGUGGCUUAUAGCAGCUCAGGGCACCAGCCCCCCGAUACCUUAUCUGCAGGAGUGCGGGGUUUAAGCCACUUAAUGGAAAAAGGGGAUGUGGAGAAAAAUGAUGCAUUGCAGGAGGGAGGGUCUCCUGGCAAACAUAGAAAGCUGCUUCGGCACACGCGCAGCCCUCUGGGUAAGAACCUUCAGGGUAAAGCCCGUAAAGCUGUUUCUGUUUAAUGAUGUGGAAGAACGUCUGUGUUUGUGUAAUUUGUAGCCCUAAUACUCGCCUGGGAGGCUGACCUGAGAAUGGCCUUUGGCUCUUGUUGCAUCUGAGAACGUCCUGGAGGCACAGUGCGCGCACGUCUCUUAUUCCCUUCGCUGUGGGUUGAGAGUGGAGACAAGUUAACGGUCAUCAUCCUCAGGGUUACAGAGAGUCACACGUACAGCUUGGCUAAUGAGACGGGUGUAUAGCCGCUAAUGUUUACUGUUCUUACCGUUCAGUGUAGGGUCCCCUGGC